UUUUAACAAUUAUUUUUAACUUUUACUUUUGGUUAAUGAGCUAACAAUAGAUAAAGACAACAUUGACCAAUAAAAUUUUACACUUUUAAAAAUUCUAGAUUUUUUUUUAAGUUUCGAUUAAAUUAAGGUCUGUAUGUGUUACACCAUAGAACUCAGAAAAAAAUGUUCUUCUCAAGAAGUUAGCCUUGUAUCCGAAGAACAAAUGGAGAUAAAAAUUUAAUAAACAUCUGAAAGCAUACAAUUUAUAUACUCUUAAACAUAUACCAAAUUUUAAUAAGUUUUGAUGAAUAGUUUUUAUAAUAUUUAACUGUAUUUAUACUUUUUAGCGACCCUAUAUAGAAGUCCGUGUAAUAAUAUUUCAUCGUUUCAAAAUUUUCUUGAUUUAUUAUGUAGCCUUUUUUCUCGUGUAUAUAAUGCAAUUAACUAAUACAUCUUAUGUGGUGACUUUAAUGUAAAUUUCUUAGGUUCGUCUAAAGAACCUAACUCUUGAACUCUUGAAUAAUUUGUUUCAUGAAUUUGGAUUAUAACUCAUGUUUGGCAAAACACGCGAAUUACAAGUACUUGUGCAACUUGAAUUGACAUUAUUAUUUCAAAUCUUCUAGCAAUAACUUCUUAUGUAGCAAACAUUUUUCAUUCAGAUCAUACAUAUCAGUUAGUUAUUUCUGACAGUAUUAAGCUAGGCUUAGACAAUUGUGAUGACAAUUGUUCAUAUAUAAUUAAAAAACGUGUUUUUAGCGAUAUAACUAUUUCUCAUUUUAAGGAAUGUCUUCAGAAUGAAGAUUGGCAGAAUACAUUUCUUACUUCUGACUUUAAACUGGGGUUUAGCAAGAUUUACAAUAAAUUCUUGCGUUAUUUUAAUAAAUGUUUCCCACUUAUGUCGAUAGAGGUAAAAAGCAAAAUAAAGGGCAAACCAACAUGGUACACCCAAUCUCUUAAAACCUUACAUGACCAACUUUCUGACAUGUCAAAAUUAUGUAAAUGUAUUAACAAUCUGGUGUAUCAUAACAAAUUUUUAGAACUUAGGCCCAAUGGGACGAGUCGAAUUGGUUCCCAAAUUCGGUAAUCCUCUCUAAUUAUAGUCGAAUUGGUUCCCGGGGAUGGUCGAAUUGGAUCCCUCGAUCAGGUAGGUCAGAUAAACGGAUUAAAUUAUCAUGAUGACAGGAAUGGCAUUUUAAGUGUAUGAAUAUUCAUAAGUUCAAAAACGGAAUAUUGAGAAAAAAUCCAUAGCCGAAUCUCCUCGCUAAGUUGAAAAAUGUUAAAAUUGUUUUUGUAAAUUGUCUCCAUUUUGAUGCUUUAAUAGUAUAAGGGUGCAUAGAAUUUAAAAUUGACGGAUAAUUUAGAGCAAUUGAUGUAAAACCGAACAAGAACUAGAACUCUAGAGCCAGAAGCACAUUUAUUUGUUUGAUACUUGACACAUAUCUAAGUUUUCUCAAAUUUUUUUCUCGGAGCACAUAGAACCCUAUCUGUGAGAAUUCAAUGUUUAAAAUGCCCAACGUAAUCGAGAAAAAGGAAAUACAAUGGCAAAGGCAAAUUAGUAAACUGGGAACAGUCAGAGCAAAUUGAGCUUAUUUGCAGAACUUUUUACGAAAUUUACAGAGAGCUUUAGGCCUGAAAAAUAACAUUUUUUUAAAUAACCAGUUAACCACGAAUAAAUGAAAUUUGUUGUUGGAUAUCGUGCUAAGAAAAUAAUUAUUUGAACAUUUCUACCAGCUUUAAAUCUAAAACAUAAACAUAUCUGUGACUUUAUCAUUUCUAUGUACCUGCUCAUGGGGAAGCCAAUUCGACCCUCACCCGGGAACCAAUUCGACUAUCACCUUUUACAGAAUUAUACUUAUAAAGAUUAACGGGAACCAAUUCGAGCACGACCAGGCAAAUGUAUUGUAAGUCUUUAAAAUGUACAAAGCACACAUAUAAUGACUACAGAUUGGCUAAUUCAGAUAACCUUGUAAGUGAAAGCUGGAAUAUAAUUACCAGCCAUCAAAGAAAUUUUAAAACCAACAACAUUAAUUUAGUCGAUAAAAAUAAUAAAGUGAUCAGUGAACCGUUGGAUCUCUAAAACUUCUUUAAAGAUUACUUUGCUGAUGGUGUCCAAUUUGUCCAAAGAAAUGAGUCAGCUUUAUCAUAAAAUUACUUCAAAUGUACUUCAAGUGUUGUAAAAAGUAUCUAUUUGGCACCUUUAACACCGGAGGAGGUGAUUCCAGUCAUAACUAAUAUAUGCAACAAAAAAUACCUAGUAUUGAUGAAAUACCUGGUUCCUUACUAAUUGCUGUCAGGGAUCUCAUAUCAUUCCCAUUAUCCCAUUUAAUCAAUGAGUCUUUUGUAAAUGGUGUUUUUCCUGAAGCUUUAAAAACUUCAAAAAUUGGUUUCAAAAGUAAAGUUUUAUGCUAUAGACCAAUUGCAGUCCAAAAUCAAUUUCAUAAAUAUUUGAGAGGAUAUUCUCUGAUCGCUUGGUAAAGUACUCUUAAGAUCUCUUCUAGUCAAAAUGGUUUUAGAAAAGGUAAAUCUACAAUAACUGUUAUAUAAGAAACAAUUUCUGCGUUAUAUAAUUCAUUAAAUAAUAAGCAACAAACAGUUGGAUUUUUUUAUGAUUUGACAAAAGCUUUUGUCUCUGUGAAUCACGGUAUCUUGUUAGAAAAGCUGCAUCAUUGUGGUAUUCGUGUAAUUCCAAAUAACUGGAUUAAAACUUAUUUACACGAAAGAAGGCAAGUUGUUGCUCUGAAUGUCCGAACCAGCGUUUGCUGAAUUGGGUAUGCCGCAGGAAAUGGGUUUUAAGUCACAUUCUUUUUUUAAUUUUUAUAAAUGAUUUACCACCUUUGAUAGUUUUAAAUACAAAAUCUAAUAAAUUAAUAAUUUAUGCAGAUGACACAAAUGCAAUAAUAACUAACAAGGAACAUGAAGACUUGGUUGACUGUGGAAAUUAUGUGUCUACAACAAUAAAUAGAAAACUUAUAUGGUUAAAUUUUUGCCUAAAAAUGUUACGCCUGAUUACAGUGUUUUAAUUAAACUAUGUGGAAUGUCAAUAAGAUAUAUAUACGAAAUUAAUUUUGUUGGGAUAACUUUGGACUCUAAGUUAACAUAAAAAAGUCAACUUGUGUAAUAAACUAAGUGAGAUUUGUUUUUUAAUAAGAAAUUUAAAGCGCACUCUGUCUGGUGACAUUCUUAAAAUAUUAUAUUUUGGGCUUGUCCAGUCUGUACUAUUAACAACACACUCUUCAAAAAUAAAGAUCUUUGCAAAAAAGUUAAUGACCUGCUUACCAUUGUCUUUAAAAAUCUUUUGAAGCGACAAGACAGUUUCAUAGCUCAUGCUUUGAUCACAGAGAUAUCUUAUAUAAGUUCAGUAGGCUUGUCUGGAGUGAACAAUGUGAAAAAACAUAUGUUUCUCAAACGAGCACUGGGUGGUGAUAAUAGGUAUGAAGUAUUUUAUGGCAUAACAGAAGAAGAACUGAAGCAGCUCACAACAAAGUUUAUUGAGAAAUUUUGGCAGGGCGUGAACAAACUCCCUAAAGAAAAAGUGGAAUCAUGUUACAACGGAUACCAAAGUAUUGGACAGAGUAGAGUCAAGAUAUAUCCUAUUUGGUCAAUUGUGAACGCUCUAGAAAAUGGAGAGCUAAGCAAUUAUUGGGAGCAGUCUGGAAUCAUGGCGGGCGCAAGACAGGGACUUAACAUCCUAAUUGUUCGGAUCGCAAUUGAAAAGCUGUUGUCGGGAAGACACAUUAAAUGUGAAAUUCCAUAUGUGGUCUCUCACACAUAUAAAUUAGAGCUAGAAUACCUCCAAGACCUGAGUGAUGUAAUUUUGAAGUGGGAAGAGAAAAGGACUCUCUUAAAACCUGAUGUUUUCGUUUCCUUUCUGAUGCAACAAGGGUAUUUAAUGUAUGAAAAAAAUAUAGCAGGAGACAUAUUUGAAGUUAAAAUUCCUAAUACACUUAUUGAGAACGAAUUUAGAAAUCUGAUCAAAACAUGAUCCAGACGAUUAAAGUGAUGAAAUUGUGAAGAGGUUGAUUAGUUCUAUGCAGGAGGUAUUUGAACAUGUGAGCGAAAAAUGGAACCAAUGCAACGAAGACGCGAACCAUUUGAACUGUCGGGUGUAGAAAGGAGGCUGUUCAAUUCAGAAAAUAUAGGAAGAAUAAUUGAGGUCAAGCACCGUCAGAGUGCAUUAAAAGCUUUUAAACAAAUUGAAAGUAAACGCUAUGUAGAAAUUUUGAGGAAAAUGUUAUCAAAUGAAAAUCUCAAAUGUGUUUGAAUGGGAUUGAAUGUGAAUAACAACAAUAAAGUAAGCAUUCCCUAUAAGAAUGCAGAUAAGUCUGGUUCACCACGUGUAAUACUCGCAUCUUUAAAAUAUUUUUUUAACUUUCAAACUUAAAAUAAUAUAUUUUUGGCCGGUUGUAUAAAGAUGUGCCAAAUAACAUGAUUUUAACUGAUCAUGUGACCCCUUUUUGAACGUGUUGAUUGUUUUAUUCAUGUUUAAUUGAUUGUCAAAAUCUUGUUAAAGUAGACAUAGCUUUAUACAACCGGGGCUUUAUAAUUUUAUUAUGAUGAAAAACAGUACAAUAAUAAAAAAAUCUUAUCCAUCGCGACCAAAGGUGGGUGUUUUGCAUUUGUUUUUAUAUAAACAUAUACAAUAAUUCUCAAUAAUAAUUAUUUAUGUUCAGUACAUAAUGUAUCAUAUUUCAAACUUUUUUAAUGUAAUGACAGUUUUUACCGUACUUGUGCAAGUUUAGCAAUUUUCAUUGCAAUUGUUUUCACUUAAAUGCUUGUUAAAAAAAUAAACAACUUCGUAACUAGGAUAUGUAUUAUGUAUCGUAAAAUUUCAUUUUUUUAAUCAAUAAGAAAAUUAGCAUGAUAUAUUCAAUCCGAAAACGACUGUAUAAGAUCCGUUAUAGGCGUGUUGGUAAGAUAUUCGUGUUCAAUCCAAGGAGUCUCGGGUACGAAUUAUUGCGAAUCCAACUUUUUUUUAUUUCGUAAUAUUGUUGCAAUUUGAUAGAUUAUUAUAGCUGAUUAAAUAGCUCAGUUAGUAAAGAGUUAGAUAGGUAAUUACAAAGUGUUGAGUUCGAUUCCUAUCGCCGCCUUUUUUUUUAUUGAGAAUGCAGUUGUUCUUAAGUCUGAACUGGUGAGAUAUCGAGUGGCCAUAGAUAUUGAGGACCCACGAAGAUUGACGGGCAACUGAGUGCUGCCAAAUAUUCUCAAAACAUUUCUCGGUUUUGGGACUCCUCCAUCUAUUCAUGACUUACAGUAAUAUCGAACAACAAUGACCUGUCCUGUUGAUUCGCCAUAGGCCCAUGAGUCGAAGAAGAAUUCAGGAUUGAUGUUCGUGCGAUGCCGCCGAUGAUUCUCUUCGAUAGACACAUACUUAUAAACGGUAUAAGUUGUCGUGAAAGAGGAGAUGCUGUAAGAAUAGAUCGGAUUGUAGUCGGAAUGAAAACGGGGAAUGUUAUGCACAUAUUUUUAUUAAUCCUGUAAAUAUUCUGAAUCCAAAAAUUAUUAUGAAGGCAUAGUCGAAUAUUGGGGUGUUGAAAACAAAUACUUCCAUGCCAUGACAAUGUUUACGUUCACGUCUUUCUUAAAAUUACUAACGCUUGAUCAACGUUAAACGUUAUCGUAUACGUGUGAUAUUUUUUGAUAAUUAAGACACAAACCGAACAUGUUUACUAUAACAUUCAAGUUUUAAUAGCGAUCUCUAAGUGAAAAUCCAUAAUGGGGUGUUCAGAUAUUUUAGUAGACUUCGACCAAUUAGGUGUAUCUUUUUUAUGUGCGUAUAAUAGUUGAAUACAGUUGGGAUAUGCAAAAUGUAUUUGGUAAUAAUUUUUAAGACCUUUGCCAUGCGCCAAUUGACUUGGUCCAGAAAUGAAAAGCUAUUUUUGAGGUAUCUAAAAACUAGGGAAUUUAUAAAGGUUUUUCCUGGUUUUUAAAGUAAUUUUACUUGGAGUGUCGAGGAUUUUAAGUCGCUUUAAGUUGUUUUUCAUUGGAAUUUUGAUGCGCCAAUAGGCUUGGUCCAAAAAUGAAAAGCUGUUUUGAGGUGUGUGAAAUUUAGAGAUUUGACAAUGGUUUUAAAGCAGUUUUGAAGUAAUUUUAAUUGAUUUUUGCAUGCGCCAAUUGGCUUGGUCCAGAAAUUAAUUUUGGGGUGUCUAAAAUCAAGGCAUUUUGUAAGUUUUUUAGAUCUUUUUCGGAUGGUUACUUUUGGGAAAACACUAAAUUUGUAGGAUUAUACCCUGUUUUUCGUAUGCCCAACUUUUGGUGGCCUACACAUAUUUGGGAACUUUUGGGGUGGAUAAAAAUUAAUGAUUUUUGAGAGGUUUUAGGCCCUAUUCGGUUGUUUGCUUUUGGGCAAAAAAUGUUCUGGCCCAGAAAUAACAUUGGAUAUACUACUUAACAUGAAAUACUGACUUACUAUAACUGUUGAAUAUUGUUUUAGACUAUAUUUAUAGUUCCUGAAAGUUCAGAAAAUGGAAAUCGGUAAGUAAAUUUAUUUAUUAGUAAUAUAUACUUUUUUAUCUUUACAACUUUUUUGUCCCGUCCGUUGAUACAAACAUAAAAUAUUGGUCUUAUUUCGUACGUUGUUAAACAAAACCAAGAAUUUUUACUAUCCACUGUUUAAUUUUGAUAUUGUUCUUUAAUAAUUAAAACCUGUCUGAAUACAUUUUUUAGAGCUAU